CUCUCACUCUGAAAGACCUCAAGCCACGGCAAGCUCGUCGACGUCGAAUCCCUCAUCCUCCACCGAACCCUGCUGCAAUGGACCGCCGACGUUCGUCGUCUCCUCGAGAGAUUGGAACAUGGAGAUGACAAAGUUGUUCCACAAUGACGUUUUCAGAAAUUACAUGUGCGGAGGCGAAUGCUGGCAGCCCUUCACGGCUUGGUACACUUGUAUACACAAUGUUGUUGAACUCCACAACGGUAACUGGCAUGACUGCACACACUUUGCUGGCGCUCUCAGGGACUGUGUCUUUGCAAACCUCCGUUACUAUAAGCCCCUUAUUACGUAUAUUUCGAACAAAGCCUGACCGUCCUCUUCUUGAAUCUUUGAUUUUUCUCCCUCUCUUCAAACAUUUUGAGUAUUUGGGAACUGCAAGCAGGCUUCUGCCAUAUGGAUAUCUGGGCGGAUCCCAGGCCACGUGAGGGUGGGCAAAUGCCCACCCUGAAAAAAAAAAUUUAUUUAACAGAGGGGCUUUUUGGGAUUUUUGCCCCUCCUCAAAACAAAUUGUUAAGCCCUAAACGAACGCUUUGCCCAUCCCGCACGGCCGCACAUCAGCUUGUUCGUAGGAGCGGCAGGAGGUCUUCGACACUCCGACUCGUCGCCUUCGCAGAAAAUCUCCUCUCGUUCCGUCGUUCGCAGUCGCAGGUUCGAGAAUCAUUCACAAAUCGCAAGGGUUGCCUCGGCUUCGCUAGUUCGCUGCCACAGCCUUCGCUAGUUCGCUGUUUCCCAUCGCAAACCUCACAGUUUUUGGUUUGCCCGAUUCGUAGCCCCUUUCUAAGUUUCCGGCAUUAUUGAAGGAAGGAACGUGUUGAGGUCGACAUUGAUAAUCUCUCUAUUGAUCCUGGGCUUCGACCUUCUAUAUGGAAUUAUGAUGUGAAUGAUAGGGAUAGAAUUCGGUGAGGAUAUUUGGUGAAAGGACCUUAUCAGCCAAAAAAUCAUAACUUCCCCCAAACAACAAUAGGAAAUGUAGCUCGAAGGUUUAAUUCUAAAUGAUUUGAAGAAUAUCCAAGCUGGCUAGAGUAUAGUGUACUCAAAGAUGCUGCAUUUUGUUUAUAUUGUUACUUAUUCAAACCUCAGGAGCAGACAAAUAUAACUCAGGGUGGUGGUGAUUCUUUUGUUGGUGAAGGUUUUAAGAAUUGGAAGAGGAAAGAAAAAUUAUUAGCUCAUGUCGGGGAACAUAAUAGUGCUCACAACAAAGCAAGACAGAAAAGUGAUUACAGAGUGUUCCUAUUUUAUGGCUCAGUGUUUUGAUUAAAAAAAAUAUAGUUAUAUUAAUAUCGUCGAUGAAGGUUUUUUUAGUACCAAUAAUUACCAGCGUUUAGUUUUCUUUUCUUGAUUAUGGCUUUACUUUUCUUUAAAUACUAUUGAAAAUGAGCUAAGUACCAGCAAUUUAGCUUUAGUUUCUUGUUAGCGAAUGGAAGAAAAUAUAUUUUGUUUAGCACUAAGGAUUUAAGAGUUCUUUUCAAUAUGUUUGAAGAAAUAUUUCUUGUCAGCGAAUGGAAUAAAAAUGUUUUUAUCUGGGCGGUUAGGUUGGCUGAAAAAGAAAUGGAUUGUAAAAGUAAUAUAGAAUAUUUAAAAUAUUUUUGAGUUAUUUGGAUGAGUGUAAA